rnacentral:rRNA from 1 species
GAGGACUCGGGAGUAGGUGUAAGUGGGAAGAGAUACAUCGAAAUUUGAUUUAGUUGGGGUACACACCGCCCGUCAACCAGAAUAAUUAUUAGUUUUGGUAAGUCGUAACAUGGUAACGCUGGGGGAACCGGGCGUUAGUUAAUAGGGUGUUUAUUUUUCCUAUUAUAAAGCUUG